UGAAUAAUGGAAGAUAAAGGUGCUAGUACUGUAAGUACAGCUUAAAAGGGAAGCAGGUUAAAAUCCUGCACGGUCCCGCCACUGUAAUGGGAAGAUGUUUCACACGAGGCCACUGGGUUUAUUUCGGGAAGGCGUGAAGCAUUGAUGAUCCAAAGUCAGAAGACCUGCCUUUGUUGACGAACCAAU
rnacentral:ncRNA from 2 species